GGUGACUUGGGUACCAAAAAUUAAGAAGUGAUUUUAUAGGUAUGCCAAGCAUCGAAGGGUAUAAAAGGAGCAAAACUCUUAAAAUUGGAUGCUUAUGACUUAAAGUAAAUGGGUAAUAAUGUUUGGUAAAAGCUAAACUUUCUCACAUCAUACCAUCUCUAAUUUUUGAUAUUAUUUUGCUUGAAUAAUUGAUUUUGAUGCUUCAUACGUAUACAUGAUAUUGUGAUGAUUUC
rnacentral:lncRNA from 1 species